UUGGCAACGGAUAUCUUGGRUCUCGCAUCGAUGAAGAACGUAGCGAAAUGCGAUACUUGGUGUGAAUUGCAGAAUYCCGUGAACCAUCGAGUCUUUGAACGCAAGUUGCGCCYGAAGCCCCCCGGRUGAGGGCAMGUUUGCCUGGGCGUCMMGC
rnacentral:rRNA from 1 species